GUCGAGAUGGGGUCAGCACCCCUAGUAGCCCAACACUUUAUGGAAUUCUUAGUGGUAGACCACAGAUCGGCUUAUCAUGGAGUAUUGGGCAGACCCGCUUUGAAAGAUCUUUGGGCCGUCACUUCCAUCCACUUCUUGUGUAUGAAAUUCUCAACUGAAUAUGGGAUUGCUAUGUUCUGAGGUGACCAAAUGGGCUCUAGGGCAUGUUAUUUGAACUCUCUGAGAAAGUCGGAGCCCCGAAUUGUUAACGUGAUGAUAAUUGAAGAUGCUAAUGAAGCCAGUAUGGACGUGGAAAUGCUCGACGCUCCUGAACAAGGGCAUACCUUCAACAGGAAGAAGACGUCAACAUGGAAGAGGCCCCUGAACAAGGACACCCUCUUGAUGAGUUAGAUCCCCAGAUAAUUGACUCUGAACCAAAUGCAACCCCAAUGGAAGAACUAGAGACUUUCUCUGCAACCCAGAGGACCCCAGUCAGGUCUUGCGAAUAGGAAAGGCACUGCCCCCUGAAGUCAAAGAGGAGAUGGUAAGCUUCCUGAAAAGAAACUUGGAUGUCUUCGCUUGGAAGCAUGAGGGCAUGGUGGGGGAUAGAUCCAAGGAUCAGUUGUCACCAUCUUAACAUCAACUCCUCCUGUACCCCUCAUCGGCAGAAAAGACGUGCCCUCAACCCAGAAAUGUACGAGGCUCUCAAAGAGGAAAUAGGCAAGCUUAGCCGUGGUGGUUUCAUAAGGGAAGCCAUCUACUCGAAGUAGAUAUCCAACCCGGUCCUGAUGAAAAAACCCAGUGAGAAGUGGAGGGUGUGCGUAGACUUUACCAACUUGAAUAAGGCGUGCCCUAAAGACAGCUUCCCACUUUCAAGAAUAGACCAACUUGUGGAUUCCACUGCUGGACAUGAACUGUUGAGGUUCAUGGAUACAUAUUCAGGGUACAAUCAGAUACCCAUGUUUCGACCUGACGAGGAAGCUACUUUAUUCAUCACAGACAGAGAACUCUACUGCUACAAAGACA
rnacentral:lncRNA from 1 species